GGAUUAGAUACCCUGGUAGUCCACACCGUAAACGAUGAGAGCUAGUUGUCGGCAGGCAUGCCUGUCGGUGACGCAGCUAACGCAUUAAGCUCUCCGCCUGGGGAGUACGGCCGCAAGGUUAAAACUCAAAGAAAUUGACGGGGGCCCGCACAAGCGGUGGAGCAUGUGGUUUAAUUCGAAGCAACGCGCAGAACCUUACCUACCCUUGACAUGCCCGGUAAGACCUCGAGAGAUCUUGGUCGUCAUUUAGUUGGCCGGUGCACAGGUGCUGCAUGGCUGUCGUCAGCUCGUGCCG
rnacentral:rRNA from 1 species